rnacentral:rRNA from 1 species
GCCCGCUCAGAAACUACAAAUGAAGUUGACGGGGCCCGCACAAGCGGUGGAGUAUGUGGUUUAAUUCGAUGCAACGCGAAGAACCUUACCUGGUCCUGACAUCCCGGAGACCCUUAGGAAACUAGGGGGUGCUUCCAUCUGGAAGAAUCUGGAGACAGGUGCUGCAUGGCUGUCGUCAGCUCGUGUCGUGAGAUGUUGGGUUAAGUCCCGCAACGAGCGCAACCCUUGCCUUUAGUUGCCAGCAGUUCGGCUGGGCACUCUAAAGGGACUGCCGGUGUUAAACCGGAGGAAGGUGGGGAUGACGUCAAGUCCUCAUGGCCUUUAUGACCAGGGCUACACACGUACUACAAUGGCCGAUACAAAGGGCAGCGACACUGCGAGGUGAAGCCAAUCCCGUAAAAUCGGUCUCAGUCCGGAUUGGAGUCUGCAACUCGACUCCAUGAAGUUGGAAUCGCUAGUAAUCGUGGAUCAGCAUGCCACGGUGAAUACGUUCCCGGGCCUU